rnacentral:rRNA from 1 species
AGAGUUUGAUUAUGGCUCAGGACGAACGCUGGCGGCGUGCCUAACACAUGCAAGUCGAACGUGAUCUUCGGAGUAGUUUACUACACCGGAGUGAAAGUGGCGGACGGGUGAGUAACGCGUGGGUAACCUGGCCUAUGGAAGGGGAUAGCCUCGGGAAACCGGGAUUAAUACCGUAUGUAGUUGAGAUAUCGCAUGAUAUUUCAAUGAAAGAUUUAUCGCCAUAGGAUGGACCCGCGUCCCAUUAGCUAGUUGGUGAGAUAACAGCUCACCAAGGCGACGAUGGGUAGCCGGCCUGAGAGGGCGGACGGCCACACUGGGACUGAGACACGGCCCAGACUCCUACGGGAGGCAGCAGUGGGGAAUAUUGCGCAAUGGGGGCAACCCUGACGCAGCAACGCCGCGUGAAUGAAGAAGGUCUUCGGAUCGUAAAGUUCUGUCGAAGGGGAAGAAAUAAAUGACGGUACCCUUAGAGGAAGCCCCGGCUAACUACGUGCCAGCAGCCGCGGUAAUACGUAGGGGGCAAGCGUUGUCCGGAUUUACUGGGCGUAAAGGGCGUGUAGGCGGUUUUUUAAGUCAGAUGUGAAAGUUCGGGGCUCAACCCCGGAAUUGCAUUUGAAACUGGAGAACUUGAGUACUGGAGAGGUAAGUGGAAUUCCUAGUGUAGCGGUGAAAUGCGUAGAUAUUAGGAGGAACACCAGUGGCGAAGGCGACUUACUGGACAGAUACUGACGCUGAGGCGCGAAAGCGUGGGGAGCGAACAGGAUUAGAUACCCUGGUAGUC